UUAUUUAUUGUGGCCUACUGGUUAGAGCGUCCGCCUCGGAUGUGGGAGGUAGUGGGUUCUAUUCCCGGCUGAGUAAU